rnacentral:lncRNA from 1 species
ACUCAGAAACGGGCAUGUGACUUGCGAAGUCUCCAGACGUUAGCAGUCGACGCUGACUCAGCUUCUACAGCUUCCGGCACUUUUCCUGGGGGGCUGGGAGACAUAGCCCUGAAACAAAUGCCCCUCCUCAGCAGGGAGUCCACUGUGAGCCGCCCCUGGGGUUUCUGCACAUUCAGUUCUGCCUCGGCGCCACCCACCCUCCAGUCGCCGCUAGUCACAGCUGUUUUCUUUUUUCUUUCCAUCCUACGAGCUGCUUCUAUCCUCUCAGCAAAUACAGAGAGCCCAAGGAUGCUUUCUGGAAGAGAAGCUCGCGCUGCGUCCAGCUCGCCUGCCCCGCCGAGAGCGCUCCCUGCAAAGCUGCGUGCCAGCUGCAAAGUCUUUAGCUCUGAAGACCCCCCUACCCCCAUCCCAUCCCAUCCUCGCAAACGGUCAAGUUCCCAGACUUAAAAUACUUUAGAGCAGAUCAGGUGACACACAUUUCCACCAGGAAGCCCCGUCAUUCGGGGAUGGAGCGGAGAAGGGAAGGGGGGCGGCGCCCGGAAUCCUCAUUUUGCUAGAUCUUUCUCCAGGUCGCCGCGCCCGGAGGACGGCAGAAAGGUGCAGCAGCGGCGCUGGCACAUUGCGUGCCCCGGCGGGCGCGGCGCGGCGUCGGCCACCACCGCGGAGAGGGUGGGGGGACAAAGGGUCCUCUUUGGAAACUUCUGUCCCGGUCCUUUUCGGCGCCGAGAGCCUGCUUAGCCAGGGCGGGGCUGGCUUCCGGAGCCCAGGCCCCAACAGGAGGCAGAGGCAUCCGCAGUCUUUCCAGGCGGAGCCCCUCCCCACUGAGGCCCGGCCUGGAGCUCUAGCCGCCCUGGAAUCUGAUUUUAAUGUGACGAAGCCAGACUCUGAGGCUGCGGCGAUGCUGCCGCGGGGGCGGAAGCGGGAGAGAGUGGCGCAGCGCCUGGCGGGCCUGGAGUGGCCUCCUUCCCAUUCCUUAGAGGAGCGUGGCAGCCGCGUUUGCAUCGCUAGGACGCCUGUUAGAAAUGCAGUCUUGGCCCCACCCCAGGCCUACUGAACUAGAAUCUGCAUUUUAACCGAUCCCCAGGUGACUCAGGUGCAUGUUAAGUGUGAGCAGCCCUAGUAAAGAACCAGUUCAGAUCUGCAGCUCACUCCCAGGCUUGGGUGUGGAGAGGGGAGGCAGAGAAGGUAGUUGGCCACUUUUCAUAACAAAAGGGAGGCCGGAAGAGGCUUAGCUUGCUUGCUUUCUUUGCAUGUUACAAGCCAAGGACUGGGCAAGG